GAGGUAGUGUUGGCAUUUUCCUAUUUAAACACAGACCCUCAGACUUUUGAAUCAAGUCACUCAAGUGUGGUUCAAGUGUGAACAUCUUGCAUUCUCUCUGAAAACUGCAACAUGGCAAAGUUAGCAUUGAUUUUGGUGCUACUUGUAGUGGUCUGCUACUGUAGUGUCGUCGAAGCUGGGGGAUACGGUGGAGGGGGUGGUUAUGGGUAAGAAUCUUGACAUCAGCGCCAUAAAGGAUCGGGUGAAAGUUAUUCCAAAUAAAAAUAUUUAAUUUGCAGAGGAGGAGGAGGGUAUGGGAAGAAGGG